ensembl:lncRNA
UCACCUGGGGGGCGGGGAGGGUCUUCCUGCGCCUCGGUUUACCUAACCACCCUUUUUAGAUCAAGACGCUUCUUCCCACAUAAACACUCCUCGACUCUUGAGCUAAACUUCCAGGCAAAAAGCUUCCCACCAAGGCAUAAGUUAAGAGCUCCGGGGUGGAGGCCGAGGUUCUCACGGGUGGCGACCACUGCUGUGGCCCGCGUAGGCCCGGACUCCCCAGAUCCUCGCCCAGGUUCCCACCCACCGCUCCCCUCCGCGAAGCUCUGCCCUCGGCUCUCGCGCUGUGGCGCCUUUAAAGCCUCUGGGCGCUCGCCCCGCCCCGGGUCCGCCCCGUCCGAGGCGGGAGCCGCUGAAAACCCCCCGGCCCGGGCCGGGCGCGCCACUCGGCCCGCCGCCCCUGCCAGGAGUGUACCGCGCCGGCCCGCCAACGGUGAGCAGGGAAAGGGCGGGGGGCGCGCCCCCGGAAAGCUGGAGGCCCGCGUUGGCGACUCGCUCCCGGGGCUGCGGCGAGGGUCCGACGACCGCUCUGCCAGCCGUGUGCUGUCAGGGUCCUGUCCCCAAGCCCCGACCCGGCAUUGCUGGGCGAUGAGGUCAGCCGAGGUUGCGGGUGCAUGCACAGGGCGUGCGUCCGGAGCGGUGGGGACCCGGCCCUCGGGGGAGAGGAGCGGCGGGCGUCGGGGCUUGGCUGGCACGCCCAGAGGGCGGGCGCGCCGGAGCUUCCCUGCGACCCUCGCUUCCCGGUUCCAGGAGCACGUGCGGGAGGUGCCCGCGCUCCGCGGCCCCGAGGCCGCCCUUUCCAUUCCUCUUCCCGUCGGCCGUCCUGCUGGCGAGUCGGGGUCGCGGGCCGGGGAGCACAGUCCCCCAAUCUCGGGCUCCGGGGGCCGCAGCCCGCGCUGGCGGGCGGCGUGGGGUGAGGCGGCUGCUUGCGGGCGCUCCUGCCCCCGCUCCCGCCGGGGCCCCCCACCCCGCGCCCCCUGCUGCUGGGAAAGCCGGCGGGGGCUGCGGGCGGGCGGCCGGGCGGGCUGCCCAGACCACUGCGUCACCCCAGCGGCGGGCGGUGGGUGA